UUACUUAUAAAUAGGGAUUCCAAAAUCAUGUUUUUCAACAAGAUGGAUACCACAAAGAGGUGUAGUGUGGCACUACUUGCAUUCUCAUUGGCUUUCCUCAUCAUUGCAUCAGAUAUGAGUAUGAAAUCUGAAGCAAGGGGACCCGUUGUGCAAACUCCCUGUGAUAACGAUCAAGAUUGUGCACGUCGUCCUUGUGCAUCAUGUGGUUGCAAAUGUAUCAAGAAUUGUUGUCAUUGUCACUCAAAACCUUAUUUUUCUGAUUUUUGGUGUUGAGUAAUAAUGUUUACUCAUGCAAUCCCAAUAGAGAAUCACAAUAAUAAAGGAUUGCAAUUUCUUCUUAAUUGUGUUUGAAAAUAAAAGUCUGAACUUUGGCUUGUAUAUGUUUUGUAAGAUUUAUGCUUUAUGCACUUUUCUUAAUCUUU